CUGAUUUCCCACCGCGAUCGCAGCGCUCUGACAAUCCCUUUGCCAGCCGCCGCUGCUUAAUUAGCCUGCCCACGACUUACACUGCCAGAAAAAUGUGUUUUUAACUUGUGCGCAAAUUUUUUGCGGUGUUUCCCCUCUGUUGGAAACAACUGGUUUCCCAGCGGCCUUCUAAGGAACGCCUGGGCGUGCUACCCUGUGUAGCCAGCAUGCACGACAUCUGUAACUUGAUGUUGGAAAUGUCUGCAGGCUGGAACACACAAGAACAAGUUUGCAUCGCCAGAAGGACUGUGAAAUGCGCCUUUAGGACUUUACGCAGAUUUGUCCUCAAACAACAAGGGAAACCAAGGCUGGGACAAUGGCACCGAUGCCAUACGAUCAGUGCCUUGCUAAGUACCACUUAAGCCACGCCACCAGUGAGAACAAGCCUGUCUAUUGAUCAGAAGCUUCUGUCAGAGCUGCAUCUGCUGAGAAGUGGGGAGCUCUAAUUACGCACAGAAGAGCGCGGAGACAGCUUCCAUGUGGGGACCGGGCUCCUCUCUUCCCCCUUGGUGGUGCGCUCCUCCGGAGCGGAGGGUGUCGUAAUUUAUAAUGUGGCCCCGUAAUGCGUAUGCCUGCUGCAUCCUGGGACGUUCUCGUCUGACUGCGCCAGCGUGCGCUGGUGGUCCCCCCCGGCUACACCUCCGCAAGCAAGGAAAACAUUUUCUUAUGCCGUUUUAAAGGGAGAAAGCUGCCAAUGACAAAGCUAUUUAAAAAGGGGUCCAUUAUGCUGCAAGACAUGUGAUGUCUAUGAGGACCACAUGUUGCUCAGUCAAUAGGGGGAAAAGUGCGUCUCGGAUGACUUGUGGCGUUUUUUCACAGAGCAGAAACCCAGUGACGCACACGCACACACACACACACACACACACACAGACAUGUCUUGAAGAAUAGUGGUUGGUGGGCUGUGGUGAUUCCACAUUAAAAAGUGAAUAUUGCGUACACACACAUUCAUGCAUACUUAGGCACAUAGAAAUGAAUCUAUAUGCACCCAUUUACUGAUGGUUAAACAAGGCUCAUUGUUUUAUGUUGCAAUGUUGGUAUUUCUUCCUAAUAAAAUUUUGUCAAAGUCAGAUGUACUUUUGUUGACACUGAAUAGAAAUUUCACACUUUUAGGUUCAGUGGUAUUCAACUAUAAUGUGGAGAUGAGUGUUCCUGUGAUCUAUAUUUCCAUAUGUGCUUUCUCCAAAAUAGUUUUAUUUAAAAUGCUAUAUCAAAUAUAUAAUUCAACUAGAAAGAUUAAGUCAACUCUGCAAAUGGUACAAAUCACAUUUAUUAUAAAAAAGAGAUGUGCGGACUAAGACAUUAAUAGUUUCUUCCUUUUAUCUCCGAUUCAUCGGAGUGGAUGAGGGCAUUCUCCCACACAAGGGAUGUAGGUCCUUUCCAGCGUGGUUUUUAGUGUUCUUACUGGAAAGCACUGUGUGGUUGAGGGGAAGGCCACACGAGACCACACUGUCUGCCAUAAUAAAAAUAACACCCAUCUCUUAGUGCUCAGACCUAGGCAAAUGUAAUUUAUUUUGCGGCCUGAUUGUUUUCCUUCGGCUGUAAGUAGGGUCUGUGCUGAUAUACUGUAGCAUCAGCGGGUAGAUGUCUCUCAUUUCUGCUUUCCCACCAGCUUUUUACUGAUGUGUGUUUUGAAAGGCAUGACGCGACCACACGUGACCCGCGUAACUGCUUGAUGACAGUCCCCGAGAUCGAGUGUGCCCCGCCCUUAUUCUUAUAUAGCGCUGUGUGUAUAAUUUCAUUCAUGAAACACUCGUAAUCUUUAUUUUUGCGAGGCAUAAAAAUAAGCAUGUGCUUUGCUUUUAUUCAGUUUUUUUUUUUUGGUUAUUUUUUGAAGUACAGAUCGCACUCGUGCCAUUGAGUAUACUUCUGACAGUGGAUUUCUUUGUGGUUAGAGUGCAUACGCUCUAAAUAUCCUGUUGAACCUAAUCAGGAAUGUUAUGAUGAUGUAAUAACCUGAGGAUCAAAUCAAUCCAGGGAUGUGGACUACGAAAACAAACCAAUCAACAGUUUUUGCAAUCAGCGUAUGGCAUAACAGGAUGACUGUUGUAAUGUCUUCUUCUAAUUAAAAGAUCUGGCCGAAGUAUGUUUCCCCCCCCCUAUAAAUUAUCUAUUUCAGUCCUACGUCCCAUGCUGCAGUUGGCAAAGAGCACUGAGAUUGUGCAGGCCUCAGUACUGUACUGUAUGUGGAAACACAAGUACAGAGUGUCGUCACUGUGUAUUUGAGUCUGCCACCCUCAGAGAAGGGGAAUGUUAUCAUACCACCCAGACCUGUGAGCGUUCGAAUUUCAAUGUCUUCGGUAGAUGUAAUUAAGCUGAAUGUUGUCCUGGUUACACGUUCUAUGAAAUGCAGUGUAGCCAGACGGUGCUUUCUGACUAUAUGUGGGCUUUAUUAAUUAAAAUAAGCAGUUUUUUGACUCCCAUAAAAAGCACAAUUACAGUGAUGUCAUCACAAAGGUGUGCAUUUCUAUCAGUGUCUUUAAUAUAACAUGCUUAAUUCAAGCCAUUAAUAUCGAAAUAUAGAC